AUUGAACGCUGGCGGCAUGCUUUACACAUGCAAGUCGAACGGUAGACCCUUUCGGGGGUUGAGAGUGGCGAACGGGUGAGUAAUGCAUCGGAACGUGCCCAGUCGUGGGGGAUAACGCAGCGAAAGUUGUGCUAAUACCGCAUACGACCUGAGGGGGAAAGUGGGGGACCGCAAGGCCUCACGCGAAUGGAGCGGCCGAUGUCAGAUUAGCUAGUUGGUGGGGUAAAGGCCCACCAAGGCGACGAUCUGUAGCGGGUCUGAGAGGAUGAUCCGCCACACUGGAACUGAGACACGGACCAGACUCCUACGGGAGGCAGCAGUAAGGAAUAUGGUCAAUGGAGGCAACUCUGAACCAGCCCAUGCCGCGUGCAGGAUGACGGCCCUAUGGGUUGUAAACUGCUUUUAUACAAGAGAAAACCCUGGUACGUGUACCAGGUUGAUAGUAUUGUAAGAAUAAGCAUCGGCUAACUUCGUGCCAGCAGCCGCGGU
rnacentral:rRNA from 1 species